GCCUGGUUUCCCCGCUCGAAGAGAACACUCAGUGCUUGAAAGGGCGAGGCUGAAGGCUGGCUGAGGCGCUCUUAGGGCCCUCGGGAGGCCUGCGGGAACUACUCUCUGUGGCUCACUCUUGAUGCAAGAAACAGGAAGCUACCUCUGCCCCCACCCCUGGCAGACAAACAUAAUCCUGGUGACUAAUUUCCCAGUACGAGGGUUUUUGGUCAACAUCUUCCCGCCUGCCCAGAGAAAGGGUUUCUCACCUGAACCUGGAGCUUACCAAAGAUGAGUGAUCUGAGAGCCCUCGGGAUUCUCCAUCCUUCUGGUACAGGGAUUGUACAUAUGUACCACCAUGCCUCAUUUCUUACAUGGGUGCUGGAACUCAGGCUCCUAUGCCUAUGUGCACUUCUUCAUUCGUCCUGGUGGCCUUGGGAGCAGUGUGUCACAUAGCAUACACACUUUGUCCUAUCAGCUUUACUAGCAAAUGCUCAUUGCAGUGAGUCACUGGUUUCUGGUUCACCAUCAUCACUGGAUCCUCACCGGAACUCCUCUGGGAUAUCCCAUGGCCACCCCAGUCAUGGAGACCUUGCUGGUAUUGUUCCACAGGACCAGUCCCUUCAGGAGCUCCAGCAGGUCCUAGAUGGGGUAGAUGUUAGGGUGGGUGACGUGGAUGUCUUUCUGUAUGCUGUGACUAUAUUUUAUUACCAUUGGUUAAUAAAGAAACUGAUUUGGCCAAUAGCCAGGCAUAAUAGAGCCAGGUGGGAAGUCCAAGCAGAGAUUCAGGGAGAAGAGUGGAGUCAGGGAGACUCCAGCAGCCACCAGGGAAGCAAGGUGUGAGGUAACAAGCCACAAGCCUCGUGGCAAAAUAUAAAUUAAUAGAAAUGGUUUGAUUUAGUUGUAAGAGCUAAUUAAUAAUAGCCCUGAGCUAAUAGGCCAACAGUUUGUAAUUUGUAA